AACGAACGCUGGCGGCAGGUUUUAGGCAUGCAAGUCGAACGAGAAAUCACUUUCGGGUGAGAGUAGAGUGGCGCACGGGUGAGUAAAGUAUAGGAAGAUACCUUAUAGAUGGGAAUAACUAUUGGAAACGGUAGCUAAAACCUAAUGAGUCCUACGGGAUAAAAAUUUAUUGCUAUAAGAGUCGCCUGUAUUAGAUUAGCUAGUUGGUUGGGUAAAGGCUAACCAAGGCAAUGAUCUAUAGCUGGUUUGAGAGAAUGAUCAGCCACACUGGGACUGAGACACGGCCCAG
rnacentral:rRNA from 1 species